CCCAGAUCCAGAUCGUUUCCCCAGAUCCAGAUCGCAGGCGUGAAGGGCGACUGUUACCAGGGAAGGAAUCUUGCAUCAUCGCCUGCUAAUAUAAUCUACUCCACUUGGACUGUGCUUGUUGCAAGCUUCAGAAGCAAAUGGAUAAGACUAGUUAAGCAGCACUCCUCUCCUCCUCUAGCGUUGGCGCGGAUCUCGUCGGUGAUGAACAUACGACAGGAUACUAUACCAGCCUCCUAAGUGAAGGCACAAAUCCACAAGACUAUGACGAUUUAGUUGACUUGUAUCCUGAGGAACAACCACAAAGGGUCGAAGUAAACACUUAUGCACCCUCUGCUAGACCGAACCAUAAGAGGUCAAAGAAUUUCAGUGACGUGGAAGACGAGCUUUUGGUGUCUGCAUGGCUUAACAUAAGUUUGGAUCCAAUUAUUGGUUAUAAUCAAACUCGCAGUUCAUAUUGGACUAGAAUUUAUGACUACUUUCAUGCCAAUAAGACCUUCUCCUCAACCCGUAGCCAGAACUCUAUUAUGCACCGUUGGACCAGCAUACAAGAAGGUGUAAACAGGUUUACUGGAUGCCUUGCUCAGGUUGAGAGAAGAAGGCAAAGUGGUGCUACAAUGCAAGACAAGCUUACACAGGCGUGUGCUUUAUAUAAGUCUGAAGAUAAGCAACAUAAAGCUUUUCCAUAUAUGCAUUGUUGGAAUAAGUUGCGGACACAGCGUAAAUGGGAGAUGAAACUUGAAGAAUUGGCUGUUGGCAAGUCAUCUAAUAAGAAGCAAAAGAUGAACUCAAAUGAAACCUCACCUCCACAUUUACCAAGUGCCACCGAAACAAGCGAGCCUACAACUCCAAAUGAGACUGUCACAACAAGACCACCUGGAAAGAAGAAGGCCAAAGCAGCAGCAUUUCAAGCUGAAAAGAAAGGCUACACAGAAACUUUAAACAAAUUAUUUGAAAAGAAGAAAGAAACAGAUGAAUUUAAAGAAAUGAAAAAAGACGAGAGGUUUAGAUUAGCAUUAGCAGUUGAACAAGAGAGGGCUGCGAAUGAGAAAUUAAAUAUGCAGUUAAGGAGUAAAGAGCUAGAAUUGAGGCAGCAAGAAGUUGAACAACAUAAGAAGAGGGAAGAAGAGAGGAUUAUGACACUAGACCUUAGUGUCAUGCCUGCUGAUCAGAAGCAAUAUUACAUGAGACUACGAUCUAAGAUAUUGUCUGAAAAUGCCUAAUGUUACAUGGUACAUUAGGUGUUGAUUAGUCUUUAGCUAAACUGUUUGCUUUUUAUCACUAUAGAUUUAGGUUUCUUUCUUUUGGUGCUAUGUAAUUGGAUAAUACACAACUAGCUUUGCUUAUUUUUUAGCUAAAAUGUUUGCUGUUUUUAUCACUGCGAUUUUAGGUUUCUUUCUUUUGGCAAUAUGUAAUUGGAUACUGCACAACUAGCUUGUCAUAUAUAAUUCAAACAUCAGGUGUUUGUUUACAUUUAGAAAUACUAGUCGUUCACAUUUUCUUA